CCCGCGCCGCUUCCUUUUAUAUCGAUGCGGCACCGCCGCCCGCAGCCACAACCUGCGGCCGUGACGCCGCCGGCAGCCGAGGGACGAGGCUGCGCCCAGGGGCCCGGCGAAGCUGAGCCUGAGGCGAGGCGUGUUUACCCGAGGAAGUGCCAACACAGCCCAGAGAACAUAAAAUUGCACCAUGCUGUCCCUCCCUUGCGCUGUCACGGAAACCAGAUGCCAGGAUGGAAAAGCACCAGGAGAUGAAUAAAAAAGCUUCAAGUGCCAAAGAGCCCUGCUCAGCCCUACCUUCUGCUGCAGGCCAUCUAUGCUUCCCGGCAUUCCCUGGUCUCCUGCCAAUUCCCAUCAACAGCUGUGGUUUGUGGUUGUAAUGCUCAGCAUUUGUCUCCUCUUUCUCCUAGCAGACCUGCCCAAAAGCUGGAUGUGCAGCUUGUAGCAGUUCAAGAGUCCCAGGACUCCCAGAACUGGCCUCUAAGUAUGAAAACAAAUCUUUCUUUACUCCUUUAUCUUCUCCAAGGCCUGAAACAUUGCAAGUGUGGGUUUCUAAGGCUUCUGGGUCCUUCUGAUGGCAUUUGUGAGGAAAGGUUAUAUAACACAGUCCUUUAUAAUACAUAAUUUUCUUUCUUUUAUAGAACAAGAAAGUGCCAGCAGUAAAUCGAACUGUGGGUUGCCAGCCCAGAAGCAGCCUGCUUACUGCAUUUAGCAGAUGAAAUAUUCUUCACUCCAUCAUGCUUAUUCCCAGUUUCUGUGUCUAUGUAUCGCUGUUGAGGCUGCAGCUUGGGUAGGAGCGGCUCCAAGAUGUUAGCAAGUGUCUCUUAGGAAUCCCACUCCCUGUUUCUGGAGGCCCCAGAAGCUCAUCAGAUGUUUAAUAACUUCCAGUCGCUGCUGUGCUGGAUGGACCUGAACUGGUGACCAAGGGGGGAAAGGUUCUCUCACACAUUUACAAACCCCGAGGCAUCUGUUCCCCAGACACAAAUUUGUCUAAUUCCCCUAAACCACUGAUGAUCUGCCCUGAAAUGAUACUCCCAUUCCCUUAGGAAAUCCCUUGGGUUGAUAUCAAGUAGAUAGUUAUUUUUGGAUUCUUUCCCAGAGAGAGUGCACUGUAUUGCUCUGAACCCUACACACCAAAUAAAUAUAUCAUCCUACUGUAGUAAAGGUCCA
rnacentral:lncRNA from 1 species